CCUACGGGUGGCAGCAGUGGGGAAUAUUGCACAAUGGGCGGAAGCCUGAUCCAGCAACGCCGCGUGAGCGAUUAAGGCCUUCGGGUCGGAAAACUCUGUCCGCCGGGAAGAUAAUGACGGGACUUGAGGAGGAAGCCCCGGCUACCUCCGUGCCAGCAGCCGCGGUAAUACGUCGGGGGCUAGCGUUAUCCGGAAUUAUUGGGCGUAAAGGGUGCGUAGGUGGGUUCUUAAGUCAGAGGUGAAAGGCUACGGCUCAACCGUAGUAAGCCGUUGAAACUGGGAGACUUGAGUGCAGGAGAGGAGAGUGGAAUGCCUGGUGUAGCGGUGAAAUGCGUAGAUAUUACGAGGAACCCCAGUUGCGAAGGCGGCUCUCUGGACUGUAACUGACGCUGAGGCACGAAAGUGUGGGGAGCAAACAGGAUUAGAUACCCGUGUAGUC
rnacentral:rRNA from 1 species